AUUGCAAACAAGAAUUGUAUUUGUGUGAAAUGUCUUACGCUCUUGGUUUACACCUAUGAAGGAUCAAUGAAAUGUCACGUAAUUCUAUUCUGUUCUAGAUGUAAUUGCGUAAGGAAAUUUUAUUCUUUCGUAGCGUUAUUCGUUUUCAUUUGGAUGUGGUGUUUGUAUUACUAGGGAAUUUUCUGUUCUGCCCUACUAGCACGUGUGAUUCAACACUGGUCCUGAGCAUGGCAAGUUGAACUCGUGUUUUCUUUGUGCGUGUUAAAUGGAAGGAUGUGGAUGAAAGUUAUUAGGAAGGUGUGCUUAUGAUCAAUGAGUUUAAGGACAAAUUUCCAGCCUAACUUACAGCAUUCACCAUUACAUUAUGGAUUAACAUUAGGCCCAGAAGUGAGUGACUGUGGCAGCAGCAGAAAUCCACCUUAAAAUAGCCUAACGUUAAAACAGUAUACUUACAUUGCUAUACUAAUUUGGUUCGUGGAUACUGUUUGCUGGUUGGGAUGUAAGUUCUGCUGCGCCUGCUCUAGAAGAAUUUAACUCAGGUUGCGGUGAUGCACUCGAUAAUUUUCUACAAUGAUACAUGUGUUUUAAAUAUUUUACCCCUAUUUCUGCUUCUUCAUUACGUAGUUCGUCAUUAUUGUAACUGAUUCCACGAAGAAAUUAUGGUGAUACUGAAGUGCUGAAGUUGGUGAUAACAAGUAUACAACUCCCAUAAAUUAUGCUUUCUGUUCGUGGAGAACGUAAUCAAAAGUCUGCGUAAAUUCUGCAAAACAGUUGGUAUUAGACUACCCACAUGUGUGUGAAUACUUAAUAAACAGACAAUCUGUUUCCUUUUUAAAGAACAUUCUUAAAUAUAAAAAUGGGAAUGGCAUCAAAUAAUAAUAAUUUUCCAAGGGGUGGAAGGAAGCCUGCAAUUUCUGUGCCCAGGAAAGGACGUUUUGGAUUGUUUGGUAAACCAUCACAGAAUGGCUCUCACUUCAAGAAAACUGUGAAGAAGAGGGUCAAGAAGCAUGGAUUGAGUUCCCAAUUAAAAGUAACUCAUGCAGAACCAUUGACACGUAAG